AUAUUAUGUGUUAAGUCAUGCAUUAAGAUAUUAAGAACAAGCAUGUCAAGGAUCAAAAUCAAUUCUUUUCAAAUAAACUCCCCCUAUUUAAAUAUAAUCUUGCAUUGAUUUCAUCCUUAAGGUGUGUUUCCAAGUGACAAAGAAAUUGAAUUGAUUCUUCUUAUAUAUUUUCAUUUACUUUGUCUUUCAUUUUUACUUUCUUAUGCUCUAUAUUCUAUUUGCUCCCUAUCCGGUGGAGUUGGAAGGGGCACGAGGUACUACCACUAGCCUCCCUCUUGUGCCGUCCCUAAUAUGC
rnacentral:lncRNA from 1 species